rnacentral:rRNA from 1 species
GACGAACGCUGGCGGCGUGCUUAACACAUGCAAGUCGAACGGUAAGGCUCCAGCUUGCUGGGGUACACGAGUGGCGAACGGGUGAGUAACACGUGGGUGACCUGCCCUGCACUUCGGGAUAAGCCUGGGAAACUGGGUCUAAUACCGGAUAGGACCGCACCGUGAGGGUGUGGUGGAAAGUUUUUUCGGUGUGGGAUGGGCCCGCGGCCUAUCAGCUUGUUGGUGGGGUAAUGGCCUACCAAGGCGGCGACGGGUAGCCGGCCUGAGAGGGUGGACGGCCACAUUGGGACUGAGACACGGCCCAGACUCCUACGGGAGGCAGCAGUGGGGAAUAUUGCACAAUGGGCGGAAGCCUGAUGCAGCGACGCCGCGUGGGGGAUGACGGCCUUCGGGUUGUAAACUCCUUUCACCAUCGACGAAGGGUUUCUGACGGUAGAUGGAGAAGAAGCACCGGCUAACUACGUGCCAGCAGCCGCGGUAAUACGUAGGGUGCGAGCGUUGUCCGGAAUUACUGGGCGUAAAGAGCUCGUAGGUGGUUUGUCGCGUCGUCUGUGAAAUUCCGGGGCUUAACUCCGGGCGUGCAGGCGAUACGGGCAUAACUUGAGUACUGUAGGGGAGACUGGAAUUCCUGGUGUAGCGGUGAAAUGCGCAGAUAUCAGGGGGAACACCGGUGGCGAAGGCGGGUCUCUGGGCAGUAACUGACGCUGAGGAGCGAAAGCAUGGGGAGCGAACAGGAUUAGAUACCCUGGUAGUCCAUGCCGUAAACGGUGGGCGCUAGGUGUGGGUUUCCUUCCACGGGAUCCGUGCCGUAGCUAACGCAUUAAGCGCCCCGCCUGGGGAGUACGGCCGCAAGGCUAAAACUCAAAGGAAUUGACGGGGGCCCGCACAAGCGGCGGAGCAUGUGGAUUAAUUCGAUGCAACGCGAAGAACCUUACCUGGGCUUGACAUAUACAGGAUCGCGCCAGAGAUGGUGUUUCCCUUGUGGCUUGUAUACAGGUGGUGCAUGGUUGUCGUCAGCUCGUGUCGUGAGAUGUUGGGUUAAGUCCCGCAACGAGCGCAACCCUUGUCUUAUGUUGCCAGCACGUUGUGGUGGGGACUCGUAAGAAACUGCCGGGGUUAACUCGGAGGAAGGUGGGGAUGACGUCAAAUCAUCAUGCCCCUUAUGUCCAGGGCUUCACACAUGCUACAAUGGUCGGUACAGUGGGUUGCCAGUCCGUGAGGGCGAGCUAAUCCCGCAAAGCCGGUCUCAGUUCGGAUCGGGGUCUGCAACUCGACCCCGUGAAGUCGGAGUCGCUAGUAAUCGCAGAUCAGCAACGCUGCGGUGAAUACGUUCCCGGGCCU